UACUUUUUCUUGUUUUUGUUGCUUUUUUAUAUUAUAUUUUGCAGUUACUGUUGUUGUUGUAGGUUUGUUUUUUUUUUUUUACAAAAUUGUUUAAACUUGAUGAUAUACGUCGCAUUCAUCACAAUUACCGCAUACGUUUCAGGUCGUUGUUCGACGACGACGACAACAACGUUGAUGAUAAAACCAAAAAUCAUCAAACAACCUUUCGUGUCGUGUUCAAAAAACGUUCUUUUCGCCGCCGCCAUCAUAGUGUUUGUCGUUUGCAGUGCAAAGUAAGGGGAACAAACGAUAGUUGUGCACUUUUUUUUUCGUUUCGUUUUUACUAUUGCUAGUGUCGGGAGUUGUUGUUGUUAUUAUUAAAUACUUGCUAGUACAAAAAAAGUUAUAGUGUUGUUGUAAACGAGUAUUACGUCGUAUGUGUUUGUUGAGUUUGUUGUUUUUCUAGAUGCGCCAAGUCAUUGUCAAGUCUCCUCUGCUUGGUUAAAUAAUUUUUGCCAAAGGCUCCCAGUGAAAAUGUUAUAACAAAAAGAAGAAAGAAAAAAACAAAAACUUAAAAAAGAAAUAAAUAAAAAAAAAUUGUAUAAACGGGAGCAAAACUAUUCGUUUGUUGUUCUCCUAGUUGGUUCGUUAAAUAAAUUGUCGUCGGUUUUCAUCAUUAUUGUCAUCUUUAUCAUGAUAAUCUUUUUACAA